AUGAACGCUGGCGGCGUGCUUAACACAUGCAAGUCGAACGGAAAGGCCCAAGCUUGCUUGGGUACUCGAGUGGCGAACGGGUGAGUAACACGUGGGUGAUCUGCCCUGCACUUCGGGAUAAGCCUGGGAAACUGGGUCUAAUACCGGAUAGGACGAUGGUUUGGAUGCCAUUGUGGAAAGUUUUUUCGGUGUGGGAUGAGCUCGCGGCCUAUCAGCUUGUUGGUGGGGUAAUGGCCUACCAAGGCGUCGACGGGUAGCCGGCCUGAGAGGGUGUACGGCCACAUUGGGACUGAGAGAAGGCCCAGACUCCUACGGGAGGCAGCAGUGGGGAAUAUUGAACAAUGGGCGCAAGCCUGAUGCAGCGACGCCGCGUGGGGGAUGACGGCCUUCGGGUUGUAAACUCCUUUCGCUAGGGACGAAGCGUUUUGUGACGGUACCUGGAGAAGAAGCACCGGCUAACUACGUG
rnacentral:rRNA from 1 species